CUAUUGUUUACUCUAUAGGAGUUUAAUCAAAGGCCUACAAACCUAAACUACAGCAAGUCUAUUCUGUAACGUAGUUUUUUUUUUUUUUUUUUUUUUUGGAGACAGAGUCUCACUCUGUUGCCCAGGCUGGAAUGCAGUGGUGUCAUCUCAGCUCCCUGCAACCUCCACCCCUCAGGUUCAAGUGAUUCUUGUGCUUUAGCCUCCUGGGUGGCUGGGAUUACAGGCAUGUGCCACCACACCUGGAUAAUUUUUGUAUUUUAUAAUUUUGUAGAGAUGGGGUUUCGCCCUGUUGGCCAGGCUGGUCUCGAACUCCUGACCUCAGGUGAUCUACCCGCUUCAGCCUCCCAAGGUGCUGGGAUUACAGGUGUGAGCCACCGUUCCUGGCCUGUAAUGUAGUUUUGAAUUAAAAAGAGUUAAUAUAGUCUUAAUAUUGUGGAUUCAUAUGCAAAUGUUUGGUGAAGCUGAAAGUCACUAAAAGGAAGACUCUAAGAAGGUAAGAGAGAUCGUUGGACCUACUUAAGCUACUUUUAACCUUUUCUAACCCAUUGGAAUACCUAAAAUCCUUUCCCUUCUUGGAUGUUAUUUGCAAUUGCAGAAUAAAUUAAAUGUUACAUCUGAAACCAAAUCAAUUUUAGAUUGUGCUCCCGCAGCCACCAAUACUGGUCCUCAGGUGGUAAAGAUGACACAAGGAGUGAAGGUGAUGAUGGCUGCACUAAUUAUGGAAGCCAUGUGAAGUGAGAUACAUGAUACUGAAAUACAGGUAGGCACAAGCCUGGAGAUCAGGCAGCCUGUGUCAAGUGUGCAGUGCCUCAGCAGCAGCAGCAGCAGCAGCACUCCACAGGAUAUAUUGAAAAGCUGGGGCGGAAUGUCCUCCCACACAGGUGAGGGGAGACAGGUGAAGGCAGGUUUGACACUGAGGAAUAGUAAGAGAAGUAAAUUGCACCCUCAGAGUACAGCAAUAUUUAUAGCAUUUGAAUAAGAUGUUAAAGAACAUUUUCUUUUAAGGAAGAAAUUCCUGUGGGUCUUCCUCAGUUUCAAUCUAAACUAGUUUUAUUAUACUAUUACUUCAGCAUGUGGCACUUAACCUGGCCAUAGUCAGUGUUCAAUAAAUAUUUGUUGGAUGAAUUAACGUAAAAACACAAAAAACUCAGUAUAAAAUUAAUUCUUGGAGUUCUUUUGCAAAUAUAAAACUCAGAUAUAUGCAUUACAUAAAAAGAAAAUACAAAACUAAUAAAGUUUUAUAUUAACAGGGUUAGUUAAAUGCAAUAGAUGAUGUUUUGCCAAAACUAAAUUGUCUCGCAACAUGAGUAUCAUACUGACUGUUCUCAAGCAGGUUCUUUUGAAUUUGGCAUGCGGUACUAUCUUGUGUCCUGCAAUUAUUUUAUACUGAGAAGCUGUUUUUUACAUAUCAAGCAUUUGUAUAAGUCUGUCAUUAAGCCUUGGCACAAAUACAUCAUUUAGUUUUAAAUUCACUUCUGGUUUUUCUCAUUAGCCCAAGAAAAAUUUAAAUGACACUACUGGGUACUAGGGGAAACGUAACCACAAAUCACAAACUUGAGCAAUGAGUUUGUGUGUUAGAACAUACUCGGUUCAGGUGUUACUUUUUCAGAUUAUACAUUAAAUUAAGAUGCAAAGUUAAAAAUUUUAUAUGGACUUACAGCCCCUUGAUAAUACUUCCACAGAGCCGCAGUUGAGAAACACUGCUCUCUUGGAAAGGGUGCAGAGCUGGUGUCAGAAGCAGAUUCGAGUCUUGGCUCUGCCGCUACUCAGCUGAGUGUUGGGUAAGGCACUUAACCUACUUGGCCUCUCUUGGGUCUUAGGUGAUGGCGCUUGGUGACCUUUGAAGAUUUGUCUUUGAAGAUUAUUGUUGCUUUUGAAGGUUUUCUUUAGGAAUGUUGGACUUUCCAGGGAGGCUUGGGUCCAGCUUCGGAGUUUAUUUGAUUAAUUUUUUUUUUUUUUUUACUGUUAAUCAUCUUUUUACUUACUUUUAAGUUGUACAAUUCAGUAGUUGUUUAUUUUUAUUUAUAAAUUUAAAAAUUUAUUUUUUAAUUUUUAUUUUAUUUUUUGUUUUUUUUUUUAAAACCAGAACAUUUACUGCAUGACUAAUUGUUGAAAUUCUUAAGCUGAUCAAAGUGCUCCAACAGCUGCCCUCUUUGGUUUAGGUGUUGUUUCCUCACGGAGUCCAUGCCUGAAUCUGUGGUGUACAAUUUUUAGGUGCCUCGUUCGGCCAGUCCUGGUGGCAUUUUGUCUUUUAGCCUUGGCACUCCAGUUAUACGUCCUCCUGCACUUGGCGGGGUAGCCACAUUUGCCACAGGUCAACUUCUGAAGGUGGUAGGCCUUCACGCCACAGCGGUGGCACAAUGUGUGUGUCCUAUUGCAACACUUUCCAAACGGUCAUCUCACUUCUGUGGCUGAGACCAGAGAGACCUUUUUAAUUUUUUUUUUUGAGACAGAGUCGUGCUCUGUUGUCCUGGCUGGAGUGUAGUGGCGCAAUCAUAACUUACCGCAGCCUCGACCUUCCGGGCUCAAGCUAUCCUCCCACCUCAGCCUUCUGAGUAGCUGGGUCUAUAGGCGUGUGCCACGCCCAGCUAAUUUAUACAUUGUUUUUGGAGAUGGAAUCUCGCUCGCCAUGUUGCCCAGGCUGGUCUUGAACUCCUGGGCUCAAGCAGUCUUCCUGCCUCAGCCUCCCAAAGUGCUGGGAUUAUGGGUGGGAGCUCCCGCCCACACUCGGCCAAUUCAGUAGUUUUUAAUACAUCUACAAAGUUGUGUAGCCAUCGCCACUACCUAAGUUCAGAACAUUUUUCAUCACCCCGCAGCCUUCUGGACUGAGUGGAGUCAGCAUGCUCAGGGGUUGGCAGCAUCUGUUCAGGGGGCUCGAGGUUCUUCUUUGGUGUCUUUUCAAGUUUCUAUACCUGUCCAGUACUGAAGCUGGAAUUGGAGAUUGACCUUUUGUCCAAGUCAUAACUUAAUAUGCUAUUUCCUGAAACUGCUUUUAAGAAAUGUUAAGGUGCAAAUGAGGAUCCAGUUUGGGCCCACAUUUUUCUAAGUUGGAUGAAGAGCAGUUGAGUGGAGUUUCUAGUUGCACUCGAGACUCUGUACUGUGCAGACAGUUUAUUGGUGGAGUUGCCUCAGGAUAAAAAUACCCAGCUCUUCUCAGUAGUGGGUGGGAGACUUUGGGUGAUGGUGAUUUCCGUAAAGGAGAAGCUGAGCCUGGUUGGAAGGAAAAAGGAAGAAUAUACGGAGAGGCUGGCAUUCUUUAGCUGAGUGGAUUUAGGCUUGAGCUGGAGUCAGAAUCACCUGGGAGGCUUGUUCAAACACAGAUUGCUGGGCCCCAUCCCCAGAGUUUCUGUUCCAGUAGGUCCUGGGUGGGGCCUGAGGAUGUGCAUUUCUAACAAGUGCCCAGGUGAAAGCUCACUUAGAGGAAGAAUCUCAGCCUCCUGGAAGUGUGUUCUAAUUAACUUCACUGGACUGUAGGCUCAGCUUUGCCAUCCCCAUACCACUCAUGCAUGUUUUGGUGUGCUUUGGCUACAUAGGUUACAGUUGAGCUUUCUAGAGCUUUUUUCUCAUGUCUUUAGCUAGUAGGCACCUAAAAGUUGUAGAAUGCAUAGGUUUUAUUUUUGGCAUUUAUCUGAAGUAUCUGUUCAUGUCUUGACAUAUAGGAAGCUCUUUUAAAGUUUGGGUGGCAGUGGAGAGGGCAUAUAGAAGCAUAUUCUAAUUUUUCAAUGUUUUUUGAAAGGGUAGCAUGAACAAUAGUCUCCCCACUCCUUCUUCAUAUCCGUUUGGCUCAAGUAGCUGAAAACAGCAGAACCUUAAAGCUGAGUGUCACAGUCUGCCUGCCUACCUGCCUGUCUACCUGUCUACCUGCCUAUCCAGCUACCUGCCUACCCACCUUCAAGUCUUUUCGAAUACUGCCUACCCCAGGUUUCUGAUGAUAAAUUCUGUUAUCUUGGUAAUUAUGAAGUUAUUUUGAAGGUUUUAAAAGAAGCUCCUAAAAAAUAACCUAAGUUUUACAGUAUUAGUGCUUUUAGAAAGCUGGAAAAGCAAGUGAAGAAACAACAAAAAGAAAUCCUUUCUAGAUGGAUGAGAAACCACAGAUGGGUUGGGGUGAAUGCGAUGAAAUAGAAAUGUGUGUUUGGGAGAGUGUUUUCUCUGUAAGGAAGAAUAUUCUCUGUAAGGAAGGCAGGCUAUGUGGCUUUCAUGAGGUCUUCUUAGAAGCUUCUGUGGUAAUGUUCACUGGUCUGGCGAAGGGGGUAGACUUGAAAAAAUUGUAAAAUGGCGAGAACCUGGAAUUUACAUUUGGGGAGAAAAGAAACUGGGAGGCCCUUCAGCUCUGGGGAAUUGGACAAGGUGAAGCAGAGUCCACAUGUGUGUGUAUGUGUGUGUAUGUGUGUGUGCAUGUGCGCGUAUGUGCAUGCAUGUGCACUCAUCCAGGUGGGGCGUCUGCGGUAGCACCGAGGUGGAUUCUGAGGCAAGCUUCAUUUGGCCCUGAGUUCAUUUUAUUGUGACUCCAAAGGAGUUCAUGGGGGAAAUAAAGGCUCUCAUGUGCAAGAAACAAGGAAGCAGAAAAGUCAUUUGACCUAGGCUAGAAAAGGCGGCCACCUCUAGUCUAUAGUCAGAAGAGAAGCAGCUGUUCAGAGGGGCUGAGACAGGUAAUGCUGGUCCCAGGCCAAGCCUCUUGAGGAAAGAGAACAACAUUCCGAAAUUCUGUGAGUAGCUCAUACCCUGAAGGAGUUCUUUUUUUUUUUUUUUUGAGAUGGAGUCUCUGUUGCAUAGGCUGGAGUGCAGUGGCGCAAUCUCGGCUCACUGCAAUCUCCGCUCACUGCAAUCUCCGCCACCCGGGUUCAUGCCAUUCUCCUGCCUCAGCCUCCCAAGCAGCUGGGACUACAGGCACGCGCCACCAUACCCGGCUAAUUUUUUUGUAUUUUUUUAGUAGAGAUGGGGUUUCACUGUGUUAGCCAGGAUGGGCUCGAUCUCCUGACCUCGUGAUCCACCCGCCUCGGCCUCCCAAAGUGCUGGGAUUACAGGCGUGAGCCACCGUGCCUGGCAGGAGUUCCCUUUUAAGAUCGCUGUAGGAAGAGUCAGAAGGUCAAGGACAAGGCGCCGAGGUGCCUACCCUCUUAGUACUUUGUGUUGGGGAGUGGAGGCUGUCCAGAGAGGCUGGCCAAGGGGAGGCUCCCCCUGGGAAGAUGGGGAUCUUUUUUAGGUGGUGCUGCAAAGGGACACUUUUUCAGAGAGACAAGGGGAAAACACUCGCAUAUAUUUACUUCUUUAGAAGUUGAGAAAGUUAAAAGAAUGGGAAGAUGCCAUCUGCUUCCCAUUUCUGAGAAAGGGUACAUUAAAAUAGCUUGAAAUUAAGCAGAAUGUAUAAAAUUAACGUCUGAGUAUAGUCAUUUCCCGUUUUUCCUGACACAUCUUUCAGCUGUGUAGCAACAGAUCCGCAUUCCUGGUGUCAGAAGACAGUUGUUAAUGUGCUAGUUAAAAUUUUAUUUUAUUUUUGUACUGUUGAGCAAAAUUUAGACUUAACUCUGUUUUAUUUAAGAAGCAUUUUUGUUAAAUGCUUUAAUUAUUAUUAAUCAAAUUUUUUUGUAUUUAAGCAGUUUUCAACAAUCUAUUCCUCAAGCAAUUCAGAGAACCUGCUGUGUGGUGAUUAUGUAUUUUUUAUUUCAUAAAUGGGGGUAGUGAGGCAUAAGUGUUUUGGAAUUAGCAUUUGUCAUCAUCUAAUAUACUGUGUAAAUUACAUCUUUUCACUGUGUAUUGUCUGGCUGCCACUGCUAGACUCUUAAGUUCCAGGUGGACAGGGAUCUUAUGCCAGGUGGACAUGGCAUACAUGUAUGUAUGGCAGGCACUGUUCUAAGUAUAUACAAUAGUCCCUGGAGUGUCCAGGGACUGUUCAUUGAAUGAAUGAGUAAAGACUUCUGUCAACAAAUAUCAUUUAGUCUAGUGCUCAAGUGGGCUGUAAUACUCUGUUUCUGAAUUAAACAGUCUGGCUUGGUGAUAGUCACUGACAGCACCAAGCAGAUCCAUGGGAGCUACCCCAGAAAAGCUUGUGAUGCAGAGGAGAGGAGCAAAAUGUGCGCUCCCUGUGUGCAAAUGGAUUCCCACAACCACGGAAGGAAGAACUGCGGCAGACAUGCUUGGUUCUUAAUCUCAGACUCAUCAGUCAGGGAAUUCACUCCUGUCUAAGGGGCGAGUGAGGGUGAGGCAGGAAGCCAGCAUGUCCCCUGUGAAGGAGCUCUUUCCAGGUAGAAGCAUGAAGCCCAGGAAAGGCAAUUUAUACAGCACAUCACCAAUAGAGAGAUGGCCAAACCACUCUGAACUCUACCAUCUGAAGUGAACAAUUUCUAAUUAUGUAUCUUCAGAUUUUUUUCUUUCAGAUUUCUUUCUGAUAUAUGUAUCUACAGAUAUUUCUCUGUGCCGGUGUGGGCAUUUUUUCUAUAUUUAUUAACCCAGAAUAGGUUUACUGUACAUGUAGUUCUAUAACCUGGCUUUUCUCUUAAUAUGUUAUAUAUCUGUUAGGCAUUUUUUGACAGUGAUCCACAGCAUCAUGUUUGUUUCUUGAUUGACUGAGACAGAUUCUCUCUCUGUCACCCAGGCUGGAGUGCAAUGGUGCGAUUAUAGCUCACUGCAGCUUCAAAUUCCUGGACCCAAGAGAUCCUCCUGCCUCAGCCUCCUGAAUGGUUAGGACUACAGGCAUGGGACACCAUGCCUGGCAACGUUUUUUAUUUUUUGUGGAGACAGGAUCUUGCUGUCUUGCCCAGGCUGGUCUUGAAUUCCUGGCCUCAAAUGAUCCUCUUGCCUCAGCCUCCCAAAGUGCUGGGAUUACAGGUGUGAGCCAUCGUGCUCAGCCAACAUUAUGUUUAUCGACUGUUUAUUAAUGUUCCAUUUAAUUUUGGCUGGGUAUGGUGGCUCACGCCUGUAAUCUCAGCACUUUGGGAGGCUGAGGCGGGCAGAUCACAAGGUCGGGAGAUCGAUACCAUCCUGGCUAACAUGGUGAAACCCUGUUCCUACUAAAAAUACAAUAAAUUAGCUGGGCAUGGUGGCAUGUGCCUGUAAUCCCAGCUACUCGGGAGGCUGAGGCAGGAGAAUCACUUGAACCCGGGAGGCAGAGGUUGCAGUGAGUCGAGAUCGUGCCACUGCACUCCAGCCUGGGCGACAGAGCGAGACUCUCUUAAAAAAACAAAAAACAAAAAACAAAAAACCCCCCCAAAAUUCCAUUUAAUUUAAUGCCAUCAUUUAUGCAUUCAGCAAUAUUUUUGAGGGCCUACUAUGUGCCAGGCACUAGUUGGAGUUGCUGAGGGUAUAAGAUGAGGUUCCAAUUCUCAUGGAGCUUAUCGUUUAGAGGGAAAACAAUACAAAAGUAAACAAGUAGGUGAGGAUUUCUGAGUGUGCUAAGAACAAAGUAGAGCAGGGUACUGAGGUGUGAGCACAUCAGUAGAUUUCGUAGGAAAGGCCUUUCUUAGGAAGUUAUAUUUGAGCUGAGAACUGAAUGAUAAAGGAAAGCCAGCUACUUGAGUAUCUGGGGGAGGAAUAUUCUAGGCAAAGGUAAUAGCCUGUGCAAAGGCCCUGAGGCAGGAAUGUGCUUGCUUUGAGGAAAUGUGAAAAAAAAAGUUGUUGAUUGGAACAGUGUGGGGAUCUGGCAGAUGAGCUGGGUGAGGUAGGUAAGGGCUAGAUCUUGUUGUGCCAAGUAGGCAUAAAGAGUUGAGAUUUUGGGUCGGGCACAGUGGCUCACGCCUGUAAUCCCAGUACUCUGGGAGGCCGAGGUGGGCAGAUCACCUGAGGUCAGGAGUUCAAGACCAGCGUGACCAACAUGAUGAAACCCCAUCUCUACUAAAAAUACAAAAUUAGCCGGGCGUGGUGGCACAUGCCUGUAAUCCCAGCUACUCGGAGGCUGAGGCAGGAGAAUUGCUUGAACCUGGGAGGCAGAGGUUGCAGUGAGUCGAGAUCGUGCCAUUGCACUCCAGCCUGGGCAACAAGAGCGGAACACCGUCUCAAAAAAAAAAGAGUUGAGAUUUUGUUUUAAGGGCAACAUGAAGUUAUUGGAGGAUGAGCUAUUAGGAAGUGAGCAACAUAAUAUGAAGCUUUAUGUUCAAAGGCUUUCUUGGCUACUGUGUGGCAGUCAGGGGAAGCAGAGAGACCAGUUAAGAGUCUGUUGCGAUAACUGGUGAUCUUGGUAAGAAAUGACGGUGGGGGUGGAGGGAGUGAGAAGUGGAUGUAUUUCAGAGGUGGAGCUGUCAAUUCAUGGGAUUGGAUGUAGGGGGUAAAGGAAAGGAGAAAUUUUGUGGCCUCAGCUACUGCGUUGGUGCUGGGGCUCGUCAGUGAGACAAGGAAGUGGAGAUUAAGAGUGUUCUUCUGGGAUGUCCUGGUUGUGAGAUGUCUGUUAGACACCAGAGUGAUGAUGUUGAAUAGGCAACUUCCAUAAGUCUGGGGAGAGGUCCUGUCUGGAGAUAAAAAUUGGAGAGCCGUCAAUGCGCAGGUGACAUUUAAAGCCAUAGACUAGGUGAGAUCACCUGGGAUGCAGAAGAUAGAUGGAGAAAGGGAGACUAAGCCCCGAGCAGUGCAGGAGGAGCCAGCACAGGAGGCUGCAGGGGAGCCAGGGAGGCAGUGCUGAGGCAGGCAGGUGUGAAGUGGAAGCCAGGAGAAGGACAUGUUUUAAGGAGGGUGCGUCACUUUUAUGUUUGCUACUGUAACCAGUUAUCACAAAUUUAGUGGCUUAAAACAACACAGAUUUCUUAACUGUUCUGUAGGUCAGUCAUCUGACAUGGGUCUCACUGGGUUGCCAUCAGGGUGCCAGCAGGGCCAUGUUCUUUAUGGAGGCCCUAGAGAGGAAUCUGUUUCCUUGUUUGUUCCACCUUCUAGAGUCUGCUUAAUGUUCCUUGGCUUGUGGCUCCCUCCUUCAUCCUUGAUGCCAGCGACGUAGAGUCUUUGUGACCCUGCUCUCUUCUCAUUCACUCACCCUGACCUCUUCUGCCUCUUUCUUCCACUUUUAAGGACCCUUUUAAUUACGCCGAGUCCACCUGGAUAAUCCAGGAUAAUUUUCCUAUUUUAAGGUCAGCUGAUUAACAACCUAAAUUCUAUCUUCAGCCUUAAUUCCCCUUUGCCUUGUGAUGUUAUUUAUUUACAGGUUCUGGGGAUUAGGGUGUGUAUAUCUUUGGGGUUCCUGUUCUUCCUUUCACAGAGGGUAUCACAAAGGUUACUGGGAAGUUGGAUAAAAUGAGGACGGAGAAGUCAUUGUUGGAUUUGGUCAACUGAUUAGUAACCUCAAUGGGUGGUUCCAGUGGAGUGUUGGUGCGGUGGCCCAAUGGGAGUGAGUUGAAGAGCCAGCGAGGUGAGGACGUGGAGGCUACACAUCUUAAUGGUUCUUGGUGGCAGUUUUGCUUUGAAGGAAAGUAAAUAGUGGCAAGAAUUACAAAGGAAAAGCACAGAGGACAGCUCUGAGAGGAUGAAAUGGGAGACGGAAUGUGGAACAGAGGUUCAGGGACGACUGCUGGAAGGAAGGGGCAUUAGUGUAGUGUCUACUGGAAGAGAUUAACUGGAUGAAGAACCUGGAGUGAAACCAAGAAAUGGUUUAUAGGGAUGGGGACAUAUGAAAGUGAAAUUCACAGGGUUAUUUUUAAUAGAACAGCAGAAGGUACUGAUGACUCCUGUUGCUUGCGCCUGGGUCAGUGGACAGGAUCCUUGUCAGCAGCCACUACAGGGCCCGCAAGCCCACCUCAGAUGCUGUCAUUCCACGGGUGGUGGCCAAAUCUUUGAAGUCAGUGUAGAACCUCUGCCCUUUCUUCCUGGGGAGCCUGGAUCAGCCAUGAUCUUGCCCAGACUCAGCGCCAUGGUGGAGGGACAUCUCCUUUCCUCUCCUGCCCCCCAACCACUUCCCUUACACUUCUGCUCUUCUCUCCUCACCCGCUAAAUUGUAGGCCUGCCUCCAUUUCUUUCUUUACUUUGUUACGUUUUAAUAACAUUUAUUCACUCCACAACAUGCUCACAGAGGUGGAAGACCAAGUUAGUGCAGACCCAUUCAUUCCUGGACCCAGUGGCUCUCAAGUGGGAGAGGUGCUGGUCUUAAAGGGUGUUUAGGAACAAGUGGGCGUCAUAGUGAGUGUAAAAACGCCCUCGCCGUGAGGCUCAGAAGAGCCAGGCCUCCUCCUGCUCCUAGUCCAGUCAGUGCUCCUCCUUCAUAUGGGUGGUUCGCAGCCCUGCUGCAUGUUAGACUCACCAGGACAGAUUUGUAAACAUAUCACGACCUGGGCCCUACCACAAACUAAUUCAACUGGAGUCUCAGGGAUAGGGCCCAAACUGAGGAUUUUAAAAAGCUCCCUAGGAGAUUCUGAAGUGCAGCCAGGGCUAAGAACUACAGCCUUAAAUCUACUGUUGACUGCUUUCAAAAGAAGUCUUCACUGUGCUUAAACAAAUUGUGGUUAAAAGUAAGCAAAAGGGCCAGGCGUGGCGGCUCAUACCUGUAAAUCCCAGCACUUUGGGAGGCCGAGGCAGGUGGAUCACCUGAGGUCAGGAGUUCGAGACCAGCCUGGCCAACAUGGUGAAACCACGUCUCUAUUAAAAAUACAAGAAAAUUAGCUGGGCAUGGUGGUGCAUGCCUGUAAUCCCAGCUACUCGGGAGGCCAAGGCAGGAGAAUUGCUUGAACCCGGGAGGUGGAGGUUGCAGUGAGCUGAGGUCGUGCCAUUGCACUCCAGCCUGGGUGACAAGAGCAAGUCUCCAUCUCAAAAAAAAAAAAGAAGGAAGCAAAAGGAAAUCUGGAGGGGAACAUUUGUAAUAGGCAAGUGGUCAUUAUUAAAUGUACAGUUAUAUUAUUAAAAUGUAGAUCAUUUGAAUCAACUGACACGUCUGAAUUUGGAUUAAAACUCCUAAGCAGUAUACGGUACUCAAAGCUUGGUACUGGUAGGGCACAGUUUGUUCAUUUCUGUUUUUCACGUUGCCUUCUUUACACUUUUUUCCUUUCUGAAUAGCCUAAUAUGACGAAGCAGCUAUUUGUAACAUGUGGGAAUUAUUUUUUCUUCUUUUCCUCCCAUAGUCUGUCUCCAUCUUUGAGCUGCUGUUCUUUCUACAGCUUAAGGUUCUUAGAUGUCCAUUCCAUUCCCUACCCAGUCUUGGAACACUGUGAGAUGAGCAUUCCUGAUAAGUGGUCAUCCAAUUUGGAAAGACAGUAUUUUACAAGGUGAUCAGUUUCUGAGGAAUUUCAGUUAGAAAACUUUGUGUUUUUGGUUUGGUCAGGGAAAGAUCCAGAAAAGUGAUCAAGAGGUUAGCUCAAACCUGAUAUAGGGAGUUCUCAGAAUAGAGAUUGGCUGUUAAUGGUCUCUUAUAAUUUUUUCCUUGAGGAUAGUUUUAUUAGUAUGAGAGUAACUUAACCAUCCUCAUUGUGCAGUUCUUCCGCCUCAGUCUCCCAGGUAGCUGGGAUUACAGGCACGCACCACCAUGCCCUGCUAAUUUUAGUAUUUUUAGUAGAGGCAGGGUUUCACCAUGUUGGCCAGGCUGGUCUCAAAGUCCUGAUCUCAGGUGAUCCACCUGCCUCAGCUUCCCAAAGUGCUGGGAUUAUAGGCAUGAGCCACUGCGCCCGGCCCCAAACUUUUUUAUAAUUCUCUAUGACAUUGACAUACUCCCACAACAGCUUCAGUAUAAUUUAGAUGCCCUUAUACAUCUGCGUGGCCAAAUUAAAAAAGACACCAUCAGGUGUCAGCAAGAAACAGAGCAGGGGGAGCUUUCAUGUACUGCUGAUGGGAAUCUACAUUAGUUUAACCACUUUGGGAAACUAGAAUUAUCUAUGAGAGUGGAAGAUUUGCACACCAUAAAGCCCAGCAGUUCUACUCCUUAUGUAUAUUCUUGACAGACUGUAUAGCUGUGAAAACUAAUGAAUUGAUGAAUAUUCAAGAAGUGAGUAACUCUCACAAACAUAAUGUUGAGAGAAAGAAACCAGACACUCAGAAUAUAUAUUGUUUGAUUCUGUAUACAGGUUCAAAACAAAGGCAAAAUUAAUUUAUGGUGUUGCAAGUCAGGAGAUGUAGUUACCUUUGGAGAGUAGGGAGGAUAUAUUAGCAGGGCUUCUGGGGUGUUGGUAAUGUUCUUUCUUGAUGACAGGUGUGAUACACAUGCACACAUACACACAAAUAUAUUUACAAUUUGUGCUGUUUCCUGUUUGUAUAUAAUAUUUUAAUAAAAAGUUCACUGAAAUGGGGCUGGGCACAGUGGCUCGCGCCAGUAAUCCCAGCACUUUGGGAGGCUGAGGCAGGCAGAUGCUGGAGCCCAGGAGUUCAAGACCAGCCUGGGCAACAUGACAAAACCAUUGCAUUACAAAAAAAAAAAAAAAAAAAAUGCAAAAAUUAGCCCAGCAUAGAGGUGCGUGCCUGUAGUCCCAGCUACUUGGGAGCCUGAGGUGGGAGAAUUGCUUGGGCCUGGGAGGUGGAGGUUGUGGUGAGCUGAGAUUGUGCCACUACACUCCAGCUUGGGUGACAGAGUGAGAGAGACCCUGUGUCCAAAAAAAAAAAAAAAAAAAAAAAAGUUUACUGAAAUGGUAUAUGGUGUAGAGUAGAUUAUUGAACAGCAGUGAGAAAUGAGCAAAAUACAGCUACAUGCAGCACCAUAGAAGAAGAUUCUCACAGAAUACAUACGAUCAGAUUCUAGUUUUCUAAAGUUCAAAGAGUCAAUGCUAAGCUAUUGUUUAAGGACACAUAAGUAACUCGUGGAUAUCAGUCAGGAUUCAGUCAGGGAAGCAGAACCACUGUAUUAUGUAAUAAGGGAUUUAUUUUUUAUAGCAAUAAGAUAUUUUACAACUGUGGGGAAAAGCUGGAAAAAUGACAGUCUGGAAGGAAGAAUUAGAGGACCAGAGAAGAGCCACGAAAGCACCUCUCCUGAAGCACCUGUACGGGUGGCUGAGUUAGAACUUGUGGGAGGCUCUGAGAAGCCAGGCAUGAGCAGCUGCUAGAACGGGACCACAAAGGAAAGCUGAUGAAAAAGUCUAUGAAAAGCUAUUACCUCUGCAUAGCAAUCACUUCUCUAGGUCUGCUGGCCAGCAGCUGAUGGUCCAGGGGCUUCUGUUCGCUGACAAGGCCGGCAGUUGGGGGAAAAAGCUAGUGACAGAAGCAGCACGUGGACAAGCUGGAACCCUCUGGCAUCUCCGUUUAUAUCUGCUACCACCUCUAACUACCUCGGCCCUCAGGAAGUAAUGGUGGUUUUACUUUUCGCUUUUUAAAUCUUGUCCAGAUUCAGGGAAGGGAAUCCUGAGAAAAUUCUAGCCUAACCAAAUUGAGUUAAAAGCUGCAAUAGUGAUGGUUGCACAACUCUGUGCAUAUAUUAAAAAAUAUACUUUAAGUGAGUGGACUUUAUGAUUUGUGAAUUAUAUCUCAAUAAAGCUGUUAUUUACUUAAACAAAACUGCCACAUGUUGAAAACUUUAAAGAAACAAUGUUACCAUGGAUGAUUUAAGUGCUGCUUCUUGGAGAUAUGGAAGUUUCAGUUUAGUAAUUGCUUCUUAGCAGGUUGUAUCUAUGUUACUCUACACUGCUAUUCUUUGGAAAGCUAGAGCGUAGUAACUAAGAUCUGUUUGUUAAUGACAGACCUCAAGGUCUCCUGACAGGUCUGGGAAUAAGUUUUGAAAAUAGGUUAAUGGGAUAUUGUAUUAGUCCGUUCUCAUGCUCCUAGUAAAGACAUACCUGAGACUGGAUAAUUUAUAAAGGAAAGAGGUUUAAUGGACUCACAAUUCCACAUGGCUGGGGAGGCCUCACAAUCAUGGCAGAAGGCAAAGGAGAAGCAAAGGCAUGUCAUACAUGGCAGACGAGAGAAUGUGCAGGGGAACUCCCGUUUAUAAAACCAUCAGAUCUCUUGAGACUCAUUCACUACCAUGAGAACAAUAUGGGGGAAACAGUCCCCAUGAUUCAAUUAUCUCCACCUGGCCCCGCCCUUGACACAUGGGAAUUAUUACAGUUCAAGGUGAGAUUUGGGUGGGGACACAGCCAAACCAUAUAAGAUACAUUUUCUCACUUUUCACCAUGUAUAUUUGGUUUUAAAAUUUGAACUAGGAUUUCUUUACUUAUACUUAAAAGUAGGUUUUACAGAUUCAUUAAAACUUUCAUAUCAAAUCUGUUUUGAUAAUCUGAGAUAUUCUCAUCAUCUCAAACUAUUGGAAAAUGCCCUUAUCUACUCUCCAUUUACGUGGAGCCACUUUUCAUUUGAAUGUUUGUUAUGGCUCUUUUUAUUCUCUUUAUAAGGAGACAAUUGCCCAAAUAAAGAUAUGCAGCUUUCCUGCCUGGGGCUGUAGUUGUACCAUAGUAAGGAAAUGGAUAUGAAGGUUUUUUAAAAAGUUCAAAAACAGAGUAGCUUGUAUCAUUUAUAUGCAAAAACUAGAAACAUUUUUAGCUGUAGUUACGAAGACUUCUAGCUUUUUGUCAACUUUUUAACUAAAAGGAGUCCCAAAACACAGGUUAUUUCUACAUGGAUUAAAUUUAUAAUAAUAAAGAAUCAUUAGUAUUACUAAACCAUAUUGACAGAAUUCUUGCUAAAACUAGGCUAGACAGACAAGGAUGGAUACUGAAGGUUGACACUGAAGACCUAGUUGGGAAGAGGAUUCAGAGGAGCUUGGCUAGAGUUUGGUCAAGGAGACACUCUUGGUCAGUAUGUAAGUCUGGCUAAUUGGAAGUAAAUAAAAGGCAGCCAUAGUCUUGGAGGGAAGACAGACAUAAAAAAUGAUUGCAAUAUGGUAUAAAAGGUAUAAUAGAAUUAUAAAGUAUGUGUGUAUAAGAUGUAUCUGCGGCAAAAAGGAGCAGUGAUGGUCUGCUUGAGCACAUGAAGGAUGGAUUUUUUUUUUUUUUUGGAGACGGAAUCUUGCUCUAUCUCCCAGGCUGGAGUGCAGUGGCGCCAUCUUGGCUCACUGCAACCUCUGCCUCCUGGGUUCAAGCUGUUCUUUUGCCUCAGCCUACCGAGUAGCUGGGAUUAUAGGCUUGUGCCACUGCGCCUGGCUUAUUUUUCUACUUUUUAGUAGAGAUGGGGUUUUGCUGUGUUGGUCAGGCAUGUCUCGAACUCCUGGCCUCAAGUGAAGGAUGGAUUUUUUUUUUAAAAAUGACACUAAAGCUGUAUUUUGAAGAUGAUUAGAAAGUUUGCUAGGCAGACAAAGAGAAUCAGCAAGAAAACUUUCUGGGCUGAAGGUACUACGUUUAGUCAAACUAUUAAUACUUCCUUUCCUGUGCAAAGGAACGGAAGAAGGAAGUAGUUUGAGUUGCUUGGAUAAUUCGCUAUGGCUAGUUUAGGGUUUAAGGAGAGAGAUGGAUGAGUUAAGGUUAGAGAGUAGCAGCUAGAUCAUAGAAGGCUAUGUAUGCCACGUUGCGUUUAAAUUUUGUUUUUUUUUUUUUGAGACAGAGUCUUACCCUGUCACCCAAGCUGGAGUGCAGUGGUGUGAUUUCGGCUGACUGCAACCUCUGCCUCCUGGGUUCAAGCAAUUCUUCCUGCCUCAGCCUCCCUAGUAGCUGGGAUUACAGGCAUGCACUGCCACCCCCAGCUAACUUUUUUUUUUUUUUGAGAUGGAGUCCCCCUCUGUCACCCAGGCUGGAGUACAGUGGCGGGAUCUCUGCUCACUGCAACCUCCGUCUCCCGGGUUCAAGUGAUUCUUCUGUCUCAGCCUCCUGAGUAGCUGGGAUUACAGGCACGCAUGUGGCACCCAGCUAAUUUUUUUUUUUUUUUGUAUUUUUAGUAGAGACGGGGUUUCAGCAUGUUGGUCAGGCUGGUCUUGAACUCCUGACCUCGUAAUCUGCCUGCCUCAGCCUCCCAAAGUGCUGGGAUUACAGGUAUGAGCCUCCGCGCCUGGCCUAAGAUUUUUAUUUCUAGUAGAAAAAGAGUUUCACCAUAGUGACCAGGCUGGUCUCAAACUCUUGACCACAGGUGAUCCACCCACCUCACCAGUGUGCCAGGAUUACAGGCAUGAGCCACCACACCAGCCUGGGUUUACAUUUUAACAGAUUUUUUUGUUGUUGUUUUCUUUGAAGGUCUCACUCUGUCUCCCAGCUUGAUCAUAGCUCACCAUAGACUUCAACUCCUUGGCCUCAAACAAUCCUCUCAUACCUCAGCCUCCAGCGUGGCUGAGACCACAGGGGUGCACCACCAUAUCUGGCUAAUAGUUUUAUUUUUAUUUUGUAAAGACAGAGUCUCCCUACAUUUCCCCGGCCUUGAACUCCUAGUCUCAAGUGGUCCUCCCGUUUCGUCCUCCCAAAGUAUUGGGAUUACAGGCAUAAGCUACUGCAUCUGGCCUUUUAGCACAGUUUAAUCAGAAGAGGAAAAUGAGCAGAUUUUUAUUUUAUGCAGUUACCCUGUGGACCAUGUAGAGAAUGGUUUGGAAGAACGCUGGGAGUCUGGUGAGGAAUCCAUCCCAGAGGUAGUAACUAAGACCUGUUUUUAGACAUUGGCAGUAGCGAAGGAUCUGACUUGGGAGGUAGAGUUAGUAGCAUUUAUGUGACCUCUAAGACGUGAUCCUGUCACACUUUUUCUCUACUCUGUUAGGUUCAGUACUUGAGGGCCUUUGAAUUAAACUGACAGAUGAUAGAUUAGCAAGAGAAAAGGUAGAUUUUAAUUUUGUAAAUACUUAGGGGAGUUCACAAAUAAAUGUGACUGAAAAGAGUUGUUAGAAUUUGGGGUUUAUGCACCAUCUUAAUAGAUGAAGAGGAGAGGGAGAAAGGGUACUUCCGGGAAAACAAAGAACUAUUUGGAAAGAUAAAUGGGCUCAUAGGAGAAUAAAUGGAAGCUGUAUAUUUUCGUGACAUUUUCUGUUUGGUUGUCUUCUCAUCUCAGAUGAUUAGAGUUGCCCCUGUGGGAAAGGGUUCAUGACAAUUGAGUUCUUUGAGUUCUUUUGGGAGGCUCUGCUUUUAGGCAGAUAAGGGGUUUCAGGAACUCAAAUGCCUUCAGCUCAAAAUAAUUUUUAUGCUAUAGUGGCUUAUUCUGGAUCCUUUCACGGUGAAGGAGAGGAGAAAUUCCUGAGAUUCUGGUUUGAGUGAUGGUGGUACUGUAGAUAAUGAAAUACAUAAAGAAGAGCAGGUUUCAGGACAUACUGUAUUUUCAUUUGUAUGGUUGAGCUUGGAGCACCUGGGGAACAUCUAGAGAUCCUAGAAAGCAGUUGGAUGUAGAUUUGGGACCUAGAGAGAGCUCAAAGAAGCUGAGAGUACGGAUAAAAUUUUCCUUGGAGAGUAGGAGAAUGAGAGAAGAAAGAGCUUCCAGAAAUGAACUGAAGGAGGCUGGAAAAUGAGAGAGGAUGAAAUGAGAGAGGGGACAUAGAAAGGAAAUUGAGCCUACAAAGGAGACUAAGAAGGAAUAGUUGAAGAUGAGGGGAGCUGGGAGAGUUACAGAAACCAAGGCAGGACAUAGUAGCAAGGAGACUGAGCAAUAGGGAUCAGCAGUGCCAAGGUGCAGAGUAAAAUUAUAGAAGUGUUAAGGAAAAAAAAAAUUAUAUAUAUAUAUAUUUAGUAUAUGAUAAAGGUACAGUUUUGAGGAGGAAAUGGAGGGCUGUUUAUUUAAAUGGACAUUUGGGACAAUUGGCUUACCACUUAAAAAAUAUUAGGUUAGGCCGGAUGUGGUGGCACAUGCCUGUAAUCCCAGCACUUUGGGAGGCUGAGGCAGGAGGAUCACUUGAAGUCAGGAGUUCAAGACUGGCCUGGCCAACAUGGCAAAACCCCGUCUCUACUAAAAAUACAAAAAUUAGCCAGAUGUGGUGACGCAUGCCUGUAAUCCCAGCUACUUGGCAGGCUGAGGCACGAGAAUCACUUGAACCUGGGAGGUGGAGGUUGCAAUGAGCCGAGAUCAUGCAACUGCAAUCCAACCUGGGCGACAGAGCAAGACUUUGUCUCAGAAAAAAAAAAAAAAAAAAAAGUUAGUUUAGGUCCCCACCUCAUGCCUUAUACCAAAAUAAAUCUAAAAAUUAAAUGUAGAAAUUGAAAAUAGUAAAAAUAUUAGGAGAAAACGUGGGUCAAUACUUACUUUGUGUUCAAGUUAGGAAGGACCAUACCCAUUCUAAUUAUAACAGAAAGAAAAGACUAAGAAAUUUUCAUGUAAAUCCAGCAUGUCUGUGUGCUAAAAAUAUCAUAAAAUUAAAGUGUAAAUGGCAAACUAGGAAAAGUAUUUGCCAUAGAUUUGACAGGCAGAGGUUUAAUAUCCUUCAUAUCUAAAUGAUCUAUCAAAAAAAUGAAUAACUGAAGGUUUCUGGUUAAGUAGGACUCAUUGAAGAUGUCUUUAUCUUCCAUCCUUCCAAAAUUUUGAUAAAAUGACAGGAAUUACAGAAGGGGUAGACCCACAAAGAGUGAAAAAGGGAGAGUAGGGAAGAUUUUUCUGGUUGAUGAUAGACUAAGUUGUUGGGCCUUAUUUCCUGCUGAGAGCAAGUCGAGAUGAUGGACAAAAUUUAAAACAAAAUUUAUGUGAAGGAAAUGGAGAGUUAACAAAAUAGUGAAGAUUUGUGGGUGUAAGAGGUGGGGCGUGGUGAUGAGGUAGGGAAGCCCAAGAUGUGAGACCAGCAUUUGCAGUCAUUUCUUUCCCAGAGGAAUCUGCUCAUUCCAGAAGAAUUAGGCAGAUGAGAAGCUGGACGGCUGAACAGAGUUUUUGUUAGACUCAGAGGGCGGAGGACAAAAAUUGGAGUUUGGCUCAGAUCAGGGAGCAGGAAAACUUCUUAGGCUUUGAGUAGGAGACCCAAAAGCCUAUAUCUUAGAGAUAGUAGCUCCUAACAGGUAUUGAAGUCCAGCUCCAGACCCUCUCAGUUCCUGGCUGGAUCAAGGUGUUCUGGAAAGAAGCAAGUAUAAUUUCUUUCAUUAAUAGAAGAAGAUAACAUCACUCAGAACCUCAGAUGAGCUCUAUGUUUAUUUACAAUGUUUGGCACUCAGAAAUCACCAGGCAGAUGAGGAUUUAAGACAAUGUUACUGAACGCCAAGAGAAACAACAGACUAUGGAAGUGGAUCGACAGGGAUCCAGAUAGUGAAGUUAUUAGAAAAGGGUAAGGUAUGUAGUAUGUUUACGGAGUUAAAAGAUUAAGAAUAGGGAAAUUGGAACCACACCACCCCCUCCCCAGUAGAAAAACCAAAUGUAAACUGUAGAGUUAAAGGACUGUAAAUGAAAUUAAGAUGUCAGUUAAUGGGUUUAGCAGUACAUUAGUAAUAAGUAGAAAACAAAUGUUCAGAAUGAAAUAUGGAAAUAAAAAUGGUCUGGACAUACAUUAUAGAGUGAGUCUUAGGGAUUCUGUGGAAAGGUCUAACCAACAUGUAAUUGAAAUCCUAGUAGGAAAGGAAGGAGGAGUGCUGCAGAAGCAGUAUUUGGAGUGAUGAUAGCUGAGAAUUGUUCAUAACAGGCAAAAGCCAUCUCAUCACAGAUUUAAAAAAUACUACCAGAAAUCUAAGAUAAGGAGAACAUUUUAAUAGUAACCAGAGGCCAGGUGCGGUGGCUCACUCCUGUGAUCCCAGCUCUUUGGGAGACUGAGGCGGAUGGAUCACUUGAGGCCAGAAGUUUGAGAUCAGCCUAGCCAAUGUGGCAAAACCCCAUCUCUACUAAAAAUACAAAAAUUAGCUGGGCAUGAUGGUUCAUGCCUGUAAUCCCAGCCACUUGGGAGGCUGAGGUGGGCAGAUCAGUUGAGGCCGGGAGUUCGAGACCAGCCUGGCUGACAUGGUGAAACCCUGUCUCUACUAAAAAUACAAAAAUUAGCCGGGCGUGGUGGUGCACGCCUGUAAUUCCAGCCACUUGGGAGGCUGAGGCACGAGAAUUGCUUGAACCCAGAAGGCAGAUAUUGCAGUGAGCCAAGAUCCCACCAAAGUACUCCAGCCUAGGUGAGAGUGAGACUCUAUCUCCAAAAAAAAAAAAAAAAAGUAACCAGAGAAAAACUACGUACUACAUUGAAAAGAGCAGUGAGAUUGACAGCUAAUUUCUCAAUAGAUGUAAUAGUGCAUCCUUCUCAGAAGGCAAUGAACUAAUGUUUUAAAAA